rnacentral:rRNA from 1 species
UACGNNCGNGNNUAAAGNNAGCUUGCUAUUUUUAUGAAGAGCGGCGAACGGGUGAGUAACGCGUGGGAAAUCUGCCGAGUAGCGGGGGACAACGUUUGGAAACGAACGCUAAUACCGCAUAACAAUGAGAAUCGCAUGAUUCUUAUUUAAAAGAAGCAAUUGCUUCACUACUUGAUGAUCCCGCGUUGUAUUAGCUAGUUGGUAGUGUAAAGGACUACCAAGGCGAUGAUACAUAGCCGACCUGAGAGGGUGAUCGGCCACACUGGGACUGAGACACGGCCCAGACUCCUACGGGAGGCAGCAGUAGGGAAUCUUCGGCAAUGGGGGCAACCCUGACCGAGCAACGCCGCGUGAGUGAAGAAGGUUUUCGGAUCGUAAAACUCUGUUGUUAGAGAAGAACGUUAAGUAGAGUGGAAAAUUACUUAAGUGACGGUAUCUAACCAGAAAGGGACGGCUAACUACGUGCCAGCAGCCGCGGUAAUACGUAGGUCCCAAGCGUUGUCCGGAUUUAUUGGGCGUAAAGCGAGCCCAGGUGGUUUNUUAAGUCUGAUGUAAAAGGCAGUGGCUCAACCAUUGUGUGCAUUGGAAACUGGGAAACUUGAUUGCAGGAAANGAAAGUGNANUNCAUGUGUANCGGUGAAGCCNUAAANAA